rnacentral:lncRNA from 1 species
CAUAGAUGGACAGGAAGCCUCAUCAUCAGGUCAACACUAGUGGCACUGGUGGCAUUAAAUAUUUAGUGCAUGAUUGCUACCAGAACACAGGCUUCUGGCAUGCACCACAGUCCAUAAGAUCCUGGUCAAGGCCCCUUUCCCUUGUCAGACUCUAGCAGGUCCUGCUGUACCAAGAAAUCCACCACAAGGCUUGUAGUCCCCUGAGAAAUCCAGCACCACAAGGCUUGGAGUGUCAGAGCCAGGACUAGGAAUCCCUCUUCCCCUGUCCUCACUGCCCCCUAGCAGCACUUAGGCCUAUGAUCCCAAGACCAAAUUAUGCUUUGCCAUCCCUGGAGUUGGAGAAAAUCCUCUCAGGCAUCGCCAUGGAGAAAACAAAGGAUGCUCAGGUGUGGUUGGCCCUGGGCCUUCAAUAUAACUGAUGACACCAGAGGAAGCUCAGCCUGCAAAUUCCGUGACCAUUGGGGCCUACCUUCAGCCCCCUCCUCCACAGCUAUUAUCCAGUGCCCCACCCCUCUGGCCUACAACCUCUGAAUCCCAAGCAGGUGUCUGACCUCUUGGCAGAGGUUCUGGAUGCAGUGGAACAUGAAGCUGAGGUUGCCCUCCCCCAGACCUCAGAGGGCUGAGCUGUGAAGUGGGGUCAGGAAUACACUCAGACCCCCCCACGCUUAUAUAAAAGAAACAUGGAAAGAAGGGAGUGCUGGAAAGCAAUUGAUAUGAAGUCCCAUUCCCACUUAAUAUUCUUACCACCCAGCACUAACAUUGUUUCCCCCCCCACCAAAGAGGCUACGCUCCACAAAUAUUCAGAAUCAAAGCUGGCUUUUACUUAUUUUUAUGUGUUGCUGAGGAUUGAACGCAGGGCCUCACAAGUGGUAGGUGAGCACUCUACCGCUGAGCCACAACCCCAGCCCCCCCCAGGCUGGUUUUUAAUAAAACAUCCUAAGAGGCUGUAGGCAGGGCUGGGGUUGCAGCUCAGUGGUGGAGCACUCGCCCUAGCAUGUGUGAGGCCCUGUGUCCGAUCUCAGCACCACAUAAAAGUAAAGGUAUGAAAAAUACAAUGACAUUUUUUAUAAAAAAAAGAGUCUCUGGGUGAGGAAGGGUUUAAAGAGAAAAGGUCAAGAUGAGACAAAAGGCAGGAAAUGUACAUAUGCAGAUUUUGUUAAGCCCCUGCAGGGGGUAAUCUCAAUUCUGUUUUCUGAGCAUCUCCCAGGUCAGUUGGGGCAGCAUUUCAGCCUUUCCUCUCAGCCUGCUGAAGUUGCUCAGUUGUAGGGGGGGGCCCAACUUCAGUCUCUCACUGUGCAUUGUGACACCACCCUGCAUCCUAUUGUGAGAUGCAGGGCUAGAAAGAAGGGGUACCAGGAAGUGAGAUAUGCUGAUCUGGGAUGAGGUUGUUGCCCUGAAGGGAGGGAAUGGAAAUGGGAAUAAAAAGAGGCCACCUGAGCCUGAGUCUCAGGUGUGUCUUUAAUCCGGACUCUAGGGCACUUCCUUCCUUCCUACCCCAGAAUACCAGCCAGGAACCCUUAUGCCUCGCUGGUGGUAGUGUACAAUAGUAUAGCCACUCUGGAUGUGUGAAGUUACACAUAUGCUUAUCCUAUGACCCAGCAAUCCCACUCUUAGAUAUUUAGCCAGCAUAAAAAAGAAAAACAGGGCUGGGGAUAUAGCUCAAUGGUAGAGUGCUUGCCUAGCAUAUGUGAGGCUCUGGGUUUAAUUCCCACCACUACCAAAAAAAAAAAGAUACUUAGCCAACAUAAAUGAAUGCAUGUCAACAAAAAGACUUGUAGCCCAGCUGAGUGGCACAUGCCUGUAAUCCCAGUGGCUUGGGAGGCUGUGGCAGGAGGAUCGUGGGUUCAAAGCCAGUCUCAGCAAAAGGUAGGCACUAAGCAACUCAGACCCUGUCUCUAAAUAAAAUACAAAAUUGGGUUGGGGAUGUGGCUCAGUGGUUGAGUGCCCCUGAGUUCAAUCCCUAGUACCCCUCCCCCCACAAAGAAAGACAUAUAUGUAUAUUCAUAGCAAUUAUAAUAGCCCAAAACAGAAAACAGCCCAAAUGUCCAACUAAAAGACAAUUGGUAAAUUGUGUUAUAUUCAUAUAAUGAAACACAAUUCAAUAAUAAAAAGGAACAAAAUGUCACUACAAUUAUUGACAUGAAUAUUCUAAACAGUUGAGUGAAAGAAGCUGGACACUAAAGAGUGCAUACAGGAUAAUUCCAUUUAUGUGAAGUUCAAAAUCAGAACAAAUUUAUGGUGAUAGCAGAGCACGAUUGUUGGGCGUAGGGUGUUACUAGGAAGAGUUGCACGGUAGCUUUCUGGAAUGAUUAAAAGGUUUUAUAUCUUGACUGGGAUACUGGUCAUGUGAGUUCAUACCUUAUGUAAAAAUCCAACCUCAGCAUUUUAUCAUAUGUAGAUUAUAAAGAAGUUGGAAAAAGACUGCCAAACCAAACCUCAACUAGAAGAAAAUAGAGUGGUUCUUUGGUAUCUGCAGGGAGUGGGAUACUAAAAUCCUCAGAUCCUCAUGUCCCUUAUAUAAAUAUGGUGCGGUAUUUGCAUUAGAACCUAUGCAUACUUUAAAUUGUUUCUAUAUUACUUAGAAUAUCCAAUACAAUGUAAAUGUUAUGUAGAUAGUUUUUAAAAUUUUUAUUUAUCUUUAUUUGUUUAUUUUUAUGUAGGGCUAAGGAUCGAACCCAGUGCCUCACACAUGCUAGGCAAGCACUCUGUCACUGAGCUCCAGCUCUAGCCCAUGUAAAUAGUUUUUAUACUGUAUUAUUAGACAAUGAUGACAAGAAAAGAGUAUGUGUUCAAUAGAAAUGCAACCCCCUACUCUGCCCCAAAUAUUUUCCAUCUGUAGUUGGUUGAAUCCUCAGAUGUAGAACCCACAAAUAAUGACUGUACUUUUUAAUUCCAAGAGGGAAAAUAGUAAUUUUAUAGGAGAGAAAGCUGGCAGACACCAUCUUAAUAAAGGAAUUAAAUUCUUGUAAAAUACUGGAUUGUAAUUUUAAUUUUCUUUGUUCUUGAAAAAAUAGAAUUGUGAAAUGUUUCAGUGUAUAUGUACUACAAAUCACUGUUAUCCAAUACAUACAAUUUUAUGUCAGUUUAAAUGAAUAAAAACUAUAGAAACAAAUAUGAAAUAUUUGAUAUAUACAAAAUAAUUUGUGCCAAAUGUAUAUAAUAAUGAAGUGAAAUAAUAAACACCCAACAUGAG